rnacentral:rRNA from 1 species
GUGCCAGCAGCUGCGGUAAUACGGAGGGGUUAGCGUUGUUCGGAAUUACUGGGCGUAAAGCGCGCGUAGGCGGACAUUUAAGUCAGGGGUGAAAUCCUGCGGCUCAACCGCAGAACUGCCUUUGAUACUGGGUGUCUUGAGGUCGAGAGAGGUGAGUGGAAUUCCGAGUGUAGAGGUGAAAUUCGUAGAUAUUCGGAGGAACACCAGUGGCGAAGGCGGCUCACUGGCUCGAUACUGACGCUGAGGUGCGAAAGCGUGGGAGCAAACAGGAUUAGAUACCCUGGUAGUCCACGCCGUAAACGAUGAAUGCCAGUCGUCGAGGGGCUUGCCCUUUGGUCGACACACCUAACGGAUUAAGC